rnacentral:lncRNA from 1 species
UACCAGUUAGUCACCUGUGGUUGGUUGAGCGUCAUUGUGCUGAACGUAGAGGCGAGAGACUGCUGGUCCCAGGAGGAGGGCAAGACCGAAGGUGCGCCAUAGAACCCGGGCGGCGCCUGCUGCUGCUGCGCCGGGGAAACUUGGGCGGCCCAGGUCUGCUGCUGAGCAAGCCACGCCUGUUGCUGUUGGGCGAGGGCGGCCCACUGGUGAUGGGCGAGGUAGGCCUGGGGUAGAGGUGGGCCGCCUUGGGGAGGCGGGGUGGGGCGCAACGGUCCAGACCGCAAGGUCCCAGGACCGGGAUACAUCUGAAUUGUCCCAGUCCAUGGGUUCCAAAAUGACGGCCACGAGCUAGGGGGGCGUCGCCUGCGCCAGGGGGACCAGGGGUUUUGACGCCCUGGCUGGAGCCGGCGCCUUUGCC